CACGUAGGGCGCGAGCGUUGUCCGGAACUAUUGGGCGUAAAGAGCUCGUAGGCGGCCUGUUGCGUCCGCUGUGAAAGCCCGGGGCUUAACCCCGGGUCGGCAGUGGAUACGGGCAGGCUAGAGGUAGGUAGGGGAGAAUGGAAUUCCCGGUGUAGCGGUGAAAUGCGCAGAUAUCGGGAGGAACACCGGUGGCGAAGGCGGUUCUCUGGGCCUUACCUGACGCUGAGGAGCGAAAGCGUGGGGAGCGAACAGG
rnacentral:rRNA from 1 species